rnacentral:tRNA from 1 species
GCGGAUGUAGUUUAAUAGAAGAACCCCAGCUUUCCAAGCUGGUUGUGCGGGUUCGAUUCCCGCCAUUCGCUCCA